rnacentral:tRNA from 1 species
GGAGAUGUGGCUCAAGUGGUAGAGCACCUGCCUAGCAAGCACAAGGCCUGAAGUUCAAAUUCCAGCACUGCCA